ACUCCUACGGGAGGCAGCAGUGGGGAAUAUUGCACAAUGGGCGCAAGCCUGAUGCAGCCAUGCCGCGUGUAUGAAGAAGGCCUUCGGGUUGUAAAGUACUUUCAGCAGUGAGGAAGGUGGGUAUGUUAAUAGCAUAUUCAUUUGACGUUAGCUGCAGAAGAAGCACCGGCUAACUCCGUGCCAGCAGCCGCGGUAAUACGGAGGGUGCGAGCGUUAAUCGGAAUUACUGGGCGUAAAGCGCAUGCAGGUGGUUUGUUAAGUCAGAUGUGAAAGCCCGGGGCUCAACCUCGGAAUUGCAUUUGAAACUGGCAAACUAGAGUACUGUAGAGGGGGGUAGAAUUUCAGGUGUAGCGGUGAAAUGCGUAGAGAUCUGAAGGAAUACCGGUGGCGAAGGCGGCCCCCUGGACAGAUACUGACACUCAGAUGCGAAAGCGUGGGGANCAAACAGGAUUAGAUACCCUGGUAA
rnacentral:rRNA from 1 species